AACUUUCAACAACGGAUCUCUUGGUUCUGGCAUCGAUUAAGAACGCAGCCAAAUGCGAUACGUNAUGUGAAUUGCANAAUUCAGUGAAUCAUCGAAUCUUUGAACGCAUANUGCGCCCAUUAGUAUUCUAGUGGGCAUGCCUAUUCGAGCGUCAU
rnacentral:rRNA from 1 species